UACGUAGGGUGCAAGCGUUGUCCGGAUUUAUUGGGCGUAAAGAGCGUGUAGGCGGCCAGAUAGGUCCGUUGUGAAAACUGGAGGCUUAACCUCCAGCUGUCGAUGGAAACCAUCUGGCUAGAGUCCGGAAGAGGAGAGUGGAAUUCCUGGUGCAGCGGUGAAAUGCGCAGAUAUCAGGAAGAACACCCGUGGCGAAGGCGGCUCUCUGGGACGGUACUGACGCUGAGACGCGAAAGCGUGGGGAGCGAACAGG
rnacentral:rRNA from 1 species